rnacentral:rRNA from 1 species
UACGAAGGGGGCUAGCGUUGCUCGGAAUUACUGGGCGUAAAGGGCGCGUAGGCGGCGGCCCAAGUCAGGCGUGAAAUUCCUGGGCUCAACCUGGGGACUGCGCUUGAUACUGGGUUGCUUGAGGAUGGAAGAGGCUCGUGGAAUUCCCAGUGUAGAGGUGAAAUUCGUAGAUAUUGGGAAGAACACCGGUGGCGAAGGCGGCGAGCUGGUCCAUUACUGACGCUGAGGCGCGACAGCGUGGGGAGCAAACAGGAUUAGAUACCCCGGUAGUCC